CCAAGAAGCAAGGAGAUCACGGAGCUGCUUGACUAUUUUGGACUGGCCUGGUUUCCAAGCUGUGCCUGUUAGGACCCUGGGAAAUCAGACCACUGGACUGGCCUUGUUUACUGGCUAUUGGUCAGAAUAGGUGCAUGUAAGCUAUUCUGACUUCUGAUUGAUUGGGGGCAGGGCUAGUCUCUUGCCACCAUUGAGGGGGGCAGAGAAAAGAAAGGCAGAGCGUGAUUGGUGCUGGGGCACUAAAUAUGCAAUUUGGGUAGUGACUGAGUAUGGUGAUUAAUAUGGUGGGCAAUGGAUCCCACUGAACACCCUAAGAGGGAGGAAAUGGCCUUACAAGGGAAUUUAGAAAAAAGACUAACAGCUAGGCCAACUACUGGUAGGCAGUGGAAAUGCAGGAGCAACAUUCAAGAAAGAGAGACACACAGAGAGAGAGAAAGACAGAGAGGAAGAGAUGCUUCUGCCUGCAGCUGCACCAUGCUGGACUUCAUGAAAGACAGGGGCCAAACAAGAUCUGAAGGCCUGCUCUUGGAUGGAAAGAAGUAACCAUAACAGAUGCUCUUGCAAUAAACUGUACUUUUGCAGUUCAACCUUGAAUACAAGACUAUCUGGCAAAAGUGCACUGCUAUUUUUAAA